GCUCGUCGCAUCCUGGGGCUGGAGCAGGUCCCAAGGGUUGGGCUGUUCGCCCAUUAAAGCGGCACGCGAGCUGGGUUUAGAACGUCGUGAGACAGUUCGGUCUCUAUCCGCCGCGCGCGUCAGAAGCUUGAGGAAAUCUGUCCCUAGUACGAGAGGACCGGGACGGACGAACCUCUGGUAUACCAGUUGUUCCACCAGGAGCACCGCUGGAUAGCCACGUUCGGACAGGAUAACCGCUGAAAGCAUCUAAGCGGGAAACCCCCUCCAAGACCAGGCUUCUCACCCUUUUAGAGGGAUAAGGCCCCCCGCAGACCACGGGAUUGAUAGACCAGACCUGGAAGCCCAGCAAUGGGUGCAGGGAACUGGCACUAACCGGCCGAAAACUUACAACAACC
rnacentral:rRNA from 2 species